GUAUAAUGAUGAAACCCAUGCGUGUCAGCUGACUCUGUAAACCCCUGGUGAGUUGGUGCUCUGGUUAGCGUUUUGCUGGCCGGAGUUGUCGGCUCAUCAGGAUUCCAGAGACAUGAUCAUACCUCACUAUUCUGAAUAC